rnacentral:lncRNA from 1 species
CGCCACUGACUUGGCCCGGUUGAUGGUUCUUCUUAGAAGCCUUUGCAAAGACCUAUCAGGCCAUGAACCUUGCUUAUUUAACAUUCCCCCCUCAAGCUUAGUUUCCGAGACUUUGAUUUGGAACUAAGCUUGUGUAGGUGUAAGCACUUUCAUGGCCUUAGACCACGGUCUCAACAGACUGUGGUGAUGGUCUCGGUCUUGUGAGCUGCUCUCUUCCUUAUACCAGGAACUAGGGUGUUUGAAUCACCAUAGAGAGUCUCACAAGUUACACUUCUUAUUGCAUAAUGUCCCAUGCUACACUUCCUGUAGACUAAGGACUAGACAUGUCCUAAUGGUAUUAUGCAAUAGCCAUCUCUAAUUGCAUAAUCAAUCAUCACACUACACUUCCUGUAGAUUGGGGACUGACAUGUCCUAGUGAUGAUAUGCAAUGGCAAAGGACCUUUGUCUUUACAUUCUUGGUUGUUGGUGAGUUACUUGUAUCACUGCUUCUGUACCUAAAACCACCACAACUCAAUGCACAAUUAAAUCAUCCUAUUGGGACCAAAGCAAGAUCACACAUCUUGUUUGAUCACCAAUGCCUCAACAAAAUAUUAAUUCUGAAACAGGCAAACAAAAGAUCAAGAACAAGCACAAUCUAGACAAGGGUAACAAUGCAUGAUCAAUCCGACAGUUCAAUGCAUGAAUGCAAUAACUUAGACAGCACCUAAUUGAUGCAAGACAAUUAUGCAUGAUCAAUCCGACAGUUCAAUGCGAUUGUCUUGCAUCAAUUAGGUGCUGUCUAAGUUAUUGCAUUCACGCAUUGAACUGUCGGAUUGAUCAUGCAUGAAUGCAAUAACUUAGACAGCACCUAAUUGAUGCAAGACAAUUUCAAGAGAUAAACCUAUCAUGAUUGUAUAGAAAGAGAUAAAGAUCAGGUUUACUCCCUUGUAUAAAUGGUGAGGAGUGGCUGCUCUUCACACACCACUUGAAUCCCUCACUUGCUGAGCUUAACAGCUCCUUCUCUUAUCAUGCAAGCUCAUCCACACUCCUCUUCAGGCUUGAGACCAAGUAUAGGGAAGGUCUAAGCUUGAUGGUGAGCGCAUGAUAGCUCCAUGAUAAGUCUUGUGGAAAGCACCUCCAUCUCCUUUGGACUUGAUGCUUGAACCUCCACCACAUCAUCAUUCCAUUGAGGAGAUACCUCAGCCAACUCUCCAAGCACCUCACACGCCUUGUUGAGUGACCUUCUUCUUCCCUCUACUUCGGCUGAAUCACUCCAUGAUCAGCUUGUAAUGACCUUGAGUAAUACAGGUCAUUGAGCAACAGGAUCAUCAGGUGGCUCACUUUGCUCCUCAAGCUUGGAUUGAGUAUGGGUCCAAGCUUGAAGUGAGCCUCAAUGAGCCUUAAGAUCAGGAGCGCAACAUCUCAUGGAUUGCGCUUCAACCACUGAUCAACCCUUCCCUUUAUCUCCAAUGCCUUCUGGUCACCAGUCUACUCCAGACUUAGGUGAUGACCAUUCGCCUUGUGUAUCCACAUACACCCCAGCGACCAUUCCUAAUGGGUAAAGUCUUCCUCUUUUACUAAGAUUGAUGAUGAACAAAGAGCACAUCAUGUGAACCUGAAACAUCACUCAAACUACAGCAAAGAUAAGACACAAGCAUUGGGAUCAAUCCUUGACCAAUAUCAAGUUUGAUCUCCAAUGUAACAAGCUAUGCAACAGAUUGAAACAAGCAUUAUCAAGUUCACAUCUUUGCAAGCAAUCUCUCUAAGUAUAAGCAAGAUCAAAUCAGAUUCAAGACAAGCUACUUAGCCAUUAACUUCUGCCUUAACUACAUUUUAGAUUUGAAUCUAAGUGUAUCAACCUAAGGCAGCAACAAGAUGACAAUAUGCAAUAUAACCUUAAUCAGUUUCUAUUUAUGAAUGCAAGAAGAGAUCAGACAAUAAUAGGAUUGAACUUAGACAGUAUGAGACAUGCUUAUAUAUGCAAAACAGCUUAUCAAUCAUGAUGUAAUCAGUUGAGACAUUCUACUCAUUCCUACAACAUAUUCAUGGCGAUUUGAGCUAUGGAAAUACGCAAGUCAAUGCAACAGACAGAAUCAUGAUAAUAUGAAGUCCUAAUCUAUGCAAGCACAUUCUCUAAAUACUUAUGUAUGAUCAAUGAUUAAACCCAUAGUAUUUAGGCAAUAAUAGUUAACCACCUUAACCACCAUCUUAGACAUUAAUCUAGAUGUUUCAAUCUUAAGGCGGCAACAAAAUGAUAAUGCAAAAC